rnacentral:rRNA from 1 species
UGUGCUCAAUGUAUUAUAAAUAGCUGCAGAUUCUGUACUAAGGUAGCGUAAUAAUUUGCCUUUUAAUUGAAGGAUAGUAUGAAUGAGAAACCAAGGGAAAUGCUGUCUCUAUAUAAUAAAUAAAAAUUAAUCUAUAAGUGAAAAAGCUUAUAUUUUAUAAAAAGACAAGAAGACCCUGUUGAGCUUUUACUAAAAAUUAAUUUUAGGUUUUGUUGGGGCAACAUAAAUUUUAUUAAACAAUUUUAUUUAAUUAGAAUAAAAUCUCUAUAAAUAUACUAUUUAAUAUAAAAAUAACAAAGUUACCACAGGGAUAACAGGCUUAUUUUCUUUUAGAGUUCUAAUCGACAAGAAAGUUUGGCACCUCGAUGUUGGCUUAUAGUUUCUUUUAAAAGUAGCAUUUUAAAAAGUUGGUUU